UGACCCUGUGCGGGAGAGUCCUCCGAGUGAGCAUGACGGAGGCGCCGAAGGAGCAAAUCCUCCCCGGAAUCUCUCAGGCAUACGUACCGCACGUGACGA
rfam:Streptomyces sp. NRRL S-444 contig82.4, whole genome shotgun sequence.